rnacentral:tRNA from 1 species
GGGCCGGUGGCUCAGCUUGGUUAGAGCGUUCGGCUGAUAACCGAAAGGUCGAGAGUUCAAAUCUCUCCCGGCCCACCA